AUUUCAGGGGGAAGCUAUGAAGCUUAGGGCACAAAAAUGGUUGCUAAUCCUAAGCUGAGCUAAUGGCAAGACCGGCCUCCGUUAU
rnacentral:ncRNA from 1 species